ACGUUGUGACAGGGGCGUCCGGAUUGCCGGGCUGAGAAGCACCCUUUGAACCUGAACCAGAUCAUGCUGGCGGAGGAAGUCGCGGUUUCAGCCCC
rnacentral:ncRNA from 2 species